UAGCAUUUCAGUUUGGAUGCAUUUGGUCCACACAAUAGUUUUAGGAAAAAUAUUCCAAGCAAUGGAAAAGAGUGCAAAAAUGUGCUUAUUGGUGAACUGCAAAAUCUAUACAUAAUAUAAAUAUUUGACAUAUGAUUACCUCUUCUCACUGAAUCUGUGAUUUAAAUGAUGCAGAAAUGAAGCACCCGUCACUUUAUGCAAUAUAUAUUUGUGCAAUUUGCAACCCAAUGCACAAGUCUACUACCAAUAGCAACGUGUGCACCUCUCCAAAGCUUUUUUCACAU